rnacentral:rRNA from 1 species
UACGUAGGGGGCUAGCGUUGUCCGGAAUCAUUGGGCGUAAAGCGCGCGUAGGCGGCCCGGUAAGUCCGCUGUGAAAGUCAAAGGCUCAACCUUUGAAUGUCAGCGGAUACUGCCGGGCUAGAGUCCGGAAGAGGCGAGUGGAACUCCUGGUGUAGCGGUGGAAUGCGCAGAUAUCAGGAAGAACACCUAUGGCGAAGGCAGCUCUCUGGUACGUGACUGACGCUGAGACGCGAAAGCGUGGGGAGCGAACAGG